AUUGAACGCUGGCGGCAUGCCUUACACAUGCAAGUCGAACGGCAGCACGGGUGCUUGCACCUGGUGGCGAGUGGCGAACGGGUGAGUAAUACAUCGGAACAUGUCCUGUAGUGGGGGAUAGCCCGGCGAAAGCCGGAUUAAUACCGCAUACGAUCUACGGAUGAAAGCGGGGGACCUUCGGGCCUCGCGCUAUAGGGUUGGCCGAUGGCUGAUUAGCUAGUUGGUGGGGUAAAGGCCUACCAAGGCGACGAUCAGUAGCUGGUCUGAGAGGACGACCAGCCACACUGGGACUGAGACACGGCCCAGACUCCUACGGGAGGCAGCAGUGGGGAAUUUUGGACAAUGGGCGAAAGCCUGAUCCAGCAAUGCCGCGUGUGUGGAGAAGGCCUUCGGGUUGUAAAGCACUUUUGUCCGGAAAGAAAUCCUUGGCCCUAAUACGGUCGGGGGAUGACGGUACCGGAAGAAUAAGCACCGGCUAACUACGUG
rnacentral:rRNA from 1 species